GAUAAUUUAUCUCCGUGUUGUAGCUAACGCGUUAAGCACUCCGCCUGGGGACUACGGUCGCAAGACUAAAACUCAAAGGAAUUGACGGGGACCCGCACAAGCGGUGGAGCAUGUGGUUUAAUUCGAUGCAACGCGAAAAACCUUACCACUCCUUGACAUGGAGAUUAGAUCCUUCUUAACAGAAGGGCGCAGUUCGGCUGGAUCUCGCACAGGUGCUGCAUGGCUGUCGUCAGCUCGUGUCGUGAGAUGUUGGGUUAAGUCCCGCAACGAGCGUAACCCUCAUCCUUAGUUGCCAGCGGGUAAGCCGGGCACUUUAAGGAAACUGCCGGUGGUAAACCGGAGGAAGGUGGGGAUGAUGUCAAGUCAGCACGGCCCUUAUGGGGUGGGCUACACACGUGCUACAAUGGUGACUACAAUAGGUUGCAAUGUCGCAAGGCUGAGCUAAUCCGUAAAAGUCAUCUCAGUUCGGAUUGUCCUCUGCAACUCGAGGGCAUGAAGCCGGAAUCGCUAGUAAUCGUGGAUCAGCAUGCCACGGUGAAUACGUUCUCGGGUCUUGUACACACUGCCCGUCACGCCAUGGGAAUUGGCUUAACUCGAAGCUGGUGCGCUAACCGAAAG
rnacentral:rRNA from 1 species